UACGUAGGGUGCGAGCGUUGUCCGGAAUUAUUGGGCGUAAAGAGCUCGUAGGCGGUCUGUCGCGUCGAUCGUGAAAACUUGGGGGCUUAACCCUGAGCUUGCGGUCGAUACGGGCAUGACUGGAGUUCGGCAGGGGAGACUGGAAUUCCUGGUGUAGCGGUGAAAUGCGCAGAUAUCAGGAGGAACACCGGUGGCGAAGGCGGUUCUCUGGGCAUGUCCUGACGCUGAGGAGCGAAAGUGUGGGGAGCGAACAGG
rnacentral:rRNA from 1 species